AGCCAUGCAUGUCUAAGUAUAAGCAAUUAUACAGCGAAACUGCGAAUGGCUCAUUAUAUAAGUUAUCGUUUAUUUGAUAGUACCUUACUACUUGGAUAACCGUGGUAAUUCUAGAGCUAAUACAUGCUGAAAAUCCCGACUUCGGAAGGGAGGUAUUUAUUAGAUUAAAAACCAAUGCCCUCUGGGCUCCUUGGUGAUUCAUAAUAACUUUUCGAAUCGCACGGCCUUGCGCCGGCGAUGGUUCAUUCAAAUUUCUUCCCUAUCAACUUUCGAUGUUUGGGUAUUGGCCAAACAUGGUCGCAACGGGUAACGGAGGGUUAGGGCUCGACCCCGGAGAAGGAGCCUGAGAAACGGCUACUACAUCCAAGGAAGGCAGCAGGCGCGCAAAUUACCCAAUCCCGAUUCGGGGAGGUAGUGACAAUAAAUACUGAUACAGGGCUCUUUUGGGUCUUGUAAUUGGAAUGAGUACAAUUUAAAUCUCUUAACGAGGAACAAUUGGAGGGCAAGUCUGGUGCCAGCAGCCGCGGUAAUUCCAGCUCCAAUAGCGUAUAUUAAAGUUGUUGUGGUUAAAAAGCUCGUAGUUGAACCUUGGGCCUGGCUGGCCGGUCCGCCUCACCGCGUGUACUGGUCCGGCCGGGCCUUUCCCUCUGUGGAACCUCAUGCCCUUCACUGGGUGUGGCGGGGAAACAGGACUUUUACUUUGAAAAAAUUAGAGUGCUCCAGGCAGGCCUAUGCUCGAAUACAUUAGCAUGGAAUAAUAAAAUAGGACGCGUGGUUCUAUUUUGUUGGUUUCUAGGACCGCCGUAAUGAUUAAUAGGGACAGUCGGGGGCAUCAGUAUUCAAUUGUCAGAGGUGAAAUUCUUAGAUUUAUUGAAGACUAACUACUGCGAAAGCAUUUGCCAAGGAUGUUUUCAUUAAUCAGGAACGAAAGUUAGGGGAUCGAAGACGAUCAGAUACCGUCGUAGUCUUAACCAUAAACUAUGCCGACUAGGGAUCGGACGAUGUUAUUUUUUGACGCGUUCGGCACCUUACGAGAAAUCAAAGUGCUUGGGCUCCAGGGGGAGUAUGGUCGCAAGGCUGAAACUUAAAGAAAUUGACGGAAGGGCACCACCAGGG
rnacentral:rRNA from 1 species